rnacentral:rRNA from 1 species
AUGUCGCAUCAACAGCCAACUGGUACUGAUCCAGCGGACUAUGAGUUCCAAAGGCCGCGAUUUCAGAUUCGUGCUUCUCAACCUGGUGAAGGUCCAUCGGAAGUUAAGACUGAUACUCAAGAUGGUCAACAGGAAGCAAAACAAAAGUUCCAAGUAUAUGUCAACGCUCUGAAACGAGACCUGGAGGCCAUCGAGGAAAAACUACAGGACCUGCAACAAGCUAUUAAUGUAGAUGGAGGUGGAACCGUCCGCUUCGAAGGUCUUGAGGUGUCAUUAUCCGCCAUCUUUGUUGUUGAGUCCUCCAGCACGGCCGAGGAUGUCGUGAAGUACCAGGUGAAGUUCAAUAAUGGUGAGGACUACCCAGCUAAACCACCAUCAGUCGUCUGGCAGGACUGUCCGGUGGAACCCGAGCCCAAACUCGAGCAUAUUUCAUCAACAAAGCUGGGCGAUGUACUGACUGAAGUGAAAAAUGUGAUCGCGAGGGACCACGGAAAAGGCAAGAAGAAAUCCGAAAUGGCUUGA